UACGUAGGCAGCAAGCGUUGUUCGGAAUUACUGGGCGUAAAGAGUGUGUAGGUGGUGUCGUAAGUUUGGUGUGAAAUCUCCCGGCUUAACUGGGAGGGUGCGCCGAAGACUGCGAUGCUGGAGUAUGGGAGAGGAAAGCGGAAUUCCUGGUGUAGUAGUGAAAUACGUAGAUAUCUGGAAGAACACCAGUGGCGAAGGCGGCUUCUUGGUCUGUAACUGACACUGAGGCGCGAAAGCGUGGGGAGCAAACAGGAUUAGAUACCCUAGUAGU
rnacentral:rRNA from 1 species